rnacentral:tRNA from 1 species
AAGAGGUUAGCUCAGAUGGAAGAGCGCUCGUUUUACACACGAAAGCCCAUAGGUUAAAGUCCUAUAUCUCUUA